rnacentral:rRNA from 1 species
UGGGGAAUAUUGCACAAUGGGCGCAAGCCUGAUGCAGCCAUGCCGCGUGUAUGAAGAAGGCCUUCGGGUUGUAAAGUACUUUCAGCGGGGAGGAAGGGGUUAAGGUUAAUAACCUUAGCCAUUGACGUUACCCGCAGAAGAAGCACCGGCUAACUCCGUGCCAGCAGCCGCGGUAAUACGGAGGGUGCAAGCGUUAAUCGGAAUUACUGGGCGUAAAGCGCACGCAGGCGGUCUGUCAAGUCGGAUGUGAAAUCCCCGGGCUCAACCUGGGAACUGCAUCCGAAACUGGCAGGCUAGAGUCUUGUAGAGGGGGGUAGAAUUCCAGGUGUAGCGGUGAAAUGCGUAGAGAUCUGGAGGAAUACCGGUGGCGAAGGCGGCCCCCUGGACAGAUACUGACGCUAAAGCGCGAAAGCGUGGGGAGCAAACA